rnacentral:ncRNA from 1 species
GAGUAGUACGCUCGCAGGAGUGAAACUCAAAGGAAUUGACGGGGGCUCGCACAAGCAGUGGAGCAUGUAAUUUAAUUCGAUGUACCGCGAAGAACCUUACCAGACCUUGAAAUAUAUGUUCUUAAAAAUUUAAUAAGUUUUCUAUAUAUACAAAUACACGAUGUGCAUGGCUGGCGCCAGCUCGUCUCGUGAGAUGUUGGGUUAAGUCCUGCACCCAGCGUAACCCCUAUUUAAAGUUAAAUAUAUUUAAAGACUGCCUAUAUUAUUACAUAUAAUGAGGAAGGAAUGGUAGACAUCAAGUCCUUCUGUUCUUUAUGCUCUGGGCUAUUUAUGUGUUUCUUGUAGUUAUUAUUUUUUUAUAUAAAUAUUUUAAAAUAAAUGGUUUCAUCAAUCUGUUUA